CAGCCGCCGCGGGAAUACGUAGGGUGCGAGCGUUAAUCGGAAUUACUGGGCGUAAAGCGUGCGCAGGCGGUGAUGUAAGACAGUUGUGAAAUCCCCGGGCUCAACCUGGGAACUGCAUCUGUGACUGCAUCGCUGGAGUGCGGCAGAGGGGGAUGGAAUUCCGCGUGUAGCAGUGAAAUGCGUAGAUAUGCGGAGGAACACCGAUGGCGAAGGCAAUCCCCUGGGCCUGCACUGACGCUGAGGCACGAAAGCGUGGGGAGCAAACAGGAUUAGAGACCCCUGUAGUCCCUGUCUCUUAUAC
rnacentral:rRNA from 1 species